CGAAGCCUCUUUGCCAUCAGCGAGGUAUAGAGUUCCUACGUGCCACAUUCAAGUCGUAGGAACUUAAUACCGUGCUCUUGGAGGGCUGUCGAUC
rnacentral:pre_miRNA from 1 species